CUGGAGAGAGUCAGUGGGAAGGCUACAGAACAACGGGAGAGAGUCAGUGGGCAGGCUACAGAACAACUGGAGAGAGUCAGUGGGAAGGUUACAGAACAACUGGAGAGAGUCAGUGGGCAGGCUACAGAACAACUGAAGAGAGUCAGUGGGAAGGCUACAGAACAACUGGAGAGAGUCAGUGGGCAGGCUACAGAACAACUGAAGAGAGUCAGUGGGAAGGCUACAGAACAACUGGAGAGAGUCAGUGGGAAGGUUACAUAACAACUGGAGAGAGUCAGUGGGAAGGCUACAGAACAACUGAAGAGAGUCAGUGGGAAGGUUACAGAACAACUGGAGAGAGUCAGUGGGCAGGCUACAGAACAACUGGAGAGAGUCAGUGGGAAGGUUACAGAACAACUGGAGAGAGUCAGUGGGAAGGCUACAGAACAACUGGAGAGAGUCAGUGGGAAGGCUACAGAACAACUGAAGAGAGUCGGUGGGAAGGUUACAGAACAACUGGAGAGAGUCAGUGGGAAGGUUACAGAACAACUGGAGAGAGUCAGUGGGAAGGCUACAGAACAACUGGAGAGAGUCAGUGGGAAGGUUACAGAACAACUGGAGAGAGUCAGUGGGAAGGCUACAGAACAACUGGAGAGAGUCAGUGGGAAGGCUACAGAACAACUGGAGAGAGUCAGUGGGAAGGCUACAGAACAA